UACAGAGGGCUCAAGCGUUGUUCGGAUUCAUUGGGCGUAAAGGGCGCGUAGGUGGCGGGGUAAGUCAGGUGUGAAAUUUCGGAGCUCAACUCCGAAACUGCAUUUGAUACUGCCUUGCUUGAGGACUGGAGAGGAGACUGGAAUUCACGGUGUAGCAGUGAAAUGCGUAGAUAUCGUGAGGAAGACCAGUGGCGAAGGCGGGUCUCUGGACAGUUCCUGACACUGAGGCACGAAGGCGAGGGGAGCAAACGGG
rnacentral:rRNA from 1 species